rnacentral:rRNA from 1 species
GAUGAACGCUAGCGGCAGGCUUAAUACAUGCAAGUCGAGGGGUAGCAAGAUUGUAGCAAUACAAUUGUUGACGACCGGCAAACGGGUGCGGAACACGUACACAACCUUCCUACAAGUGGGGAAUAGCCCAGAGAAAUUUGGAUUAAUACCCCGUAACAUAGCGAUGUGGCAUCACAUUGCUAUUAUAGCUUCGGCGCUUGUUGAUGGGUGUGCGGCUGAUUAGAUAGUUGGCGGGGUAACGGCCCACCAAGUCUACGAUCAGUAGCUGAUGUGAGAGCAUGAUCAGCCACACGGGCACUGAGACACGGGCCCGACUCCUACGGGAGGCAGCAGUAAGGAAUAUUGGACAAUGGACGCAAGUCUGAUCCAGCCAUGCCGCGUGAAGGAUUAAGGUCCUCUGGAUUGUAAACUUCUUUUAUAAGGGACGAAAAAAGGUCUUUCUAGAUCGUCUGACGGUACCUUAUGAAUAAGCACCGGCUAACUCCGUGCCAGCAGCCGCCGUAAUAC